GACGAACGCUGGCGGCGUGCUUAACACAUGCAAGUCGAACGGAAAGGCCCUGCUUUUGUGGGGUGCUCGAGUGGCGAACGGGUGAGUAACACGUGAGUAACCUGCCCUUGACUUUGGGAUAACUUCAGGAAACUGGGGCUAAUACCGGAUAGGAGCUCCUGCUGCAUGGUGGGGGUUGGAAAGUUUCGGCGGUUGGGGAUGGACUCGCGGCUUAUCAGCUUGUUGGUGGGGUAGUGGCUUACCAAGGCUUUGACGGGUAGCCGGCCUGAGAGGGUGACCGGCCACAUUGGGACUGAGGUACGGCCCAGACUCCUACGGGAGGCAGCAGUGGGGAAUAUUGAACAAUGGGCGGAAGCCUGAUGCAGCAACGCCGCGUGCGGGAUGACGGCCUUCGGGUUGUAAACCGCUUUCGCCUGUGACGAAGCGUGAGUGACGGUAAUGGGUAAAGAAGCACCGGCUAACUACGUG
rnacentral:rRNA from 1 species